rnacentral:tRNA from 1 species
AAUAAGAUGCCUGAAUAAAGGAUUACUUUGAUGUAGUAAAAUAUGUAUUAUAUACUCUUAUUA